CGUGCGCGCUGCAGCGUUGGUAUAACAUAAUGUACCUUGUAGAAAUUUCACCGAUUUCGUUUUAUAAACGAUUCGUAUACAUUUUAUCAUACUUGUUAACUGUAAAUGCGGAUUGAUAGUUUUCGUUCGGACGCGUACGAAGUAUAAUACAUCGUUAUUGAUACGUCCGUCGAUACACCGCACACGGCCGGUACACGUCUGAAAACAU